rnacentral:lncRNA from 1 species
UUCUGAUUUUUCAAACACGAAGGAAGGUCGUCAGCAUAAUGAAGAAAGCAAUUUUUAUUGCCAUUCUCGUAUCAGUUGUCUUCCGAGUUUCUGGUGAAUCUCGACCAAAGAAACAAUAAAAGCCGACGUAUGUUAAUGUCCCAGUCAAAACUGACGGAGGUAAAUGCAAGUAUCACGAUAAGCACCUUAAUGACAAUAGCAUCACGUUUCUUGGUGAUCCUUGUGAAGUACUAUUCUGUCAUUCUAAUGCAACGGAAGUGACAAUAAAAGGGUGUCCUCCUCCUAAAGAAAAUCCUUCAAAUGGCAAAGGAGGGAAAUGGCCUCAUUGCUGUCCACCAUCAAAUAAAAAGGGGCUUGAAAGGGCUUCAGUAAAGCUUACACAGCUUUGUAUUAUUCAAGGCUAUGUUGACGGCUACAAUCAAUGCUGCGGUGGGGGCACAAGUCGCAAACCAAUCAUU